rnacentral:lncRNA from 1 species
CUCUAUGGAGAGGGUGAGGAAGAUGGUGGUAGCAGGGUGAAGGAGUUGGUUUUCUGUGAGGUCGAGGGUGAAGGGUGUUAUGGAAGGUUGUGAAGAAGUGAAGAUGAAGUGAAGUUGAAGAAGUGAAGGUGAAGUGAUGUUGACUGUGAUGGUGGAAACGAAUGGUGAGGAAUGUAACACCCUUCUAACAUACCCCAAAAAUUUAAUUACAAUAAUAAACAUAUAAUCAGAGUGAUAGUGCACCAAGGGUGUCACACAAACAUUCCACACCAUUUAAACAAUAUAACCAUCAUGCUCUUUUAUUUAAAGUUAAAUAUAAAGUAUUUGCACAAUUACGCAGCGGAUAGAGAUCAACUCAAUCAUGCAAAACAUGUAACAUCACAUGUAAUUUAGUUCAACAACAACAACAAUAAUAGUCAAAGUUUUCCCGCCCGAUGUUACAUCUAUCAGAGCAUGACCCACUAGGGAGACUACACUAGACUCCAAGCAUUCGCUUCUACUCAACUCAUUUCUCGUUACCUGAAAAAUAGUUGUAAGGGUGAGUUCCUCAAUCAAUAUAAUAAGCAUUAUAAAACAACAUGUAAUGCCAAGUAAUUAACACAUCAAUCACCCUAAUUGCAAUACACAUUCAGUAAUAGCUCAUUGGCUUAAACAUCAUACUCAACAUCAAUAUACAAUACCAGUAUAAUCUCAAAUCAUACUUAACAACAACACAACACACGUAUAAUAUUGGAACACAUCCAUUCAUAUUAUACGCCAUACAUAUAUUAUGCAAUGAGACUCCAUGCAUGCGGUACCGACUAUUCGUGAACACAUAGUUCAACCUCACCGAUCAAAUCCAGAUACGGCUACCAAGCUCACUAGUCCCACUCAUUUGAGACCUAGUGACUCACUCACUAAUUCCUCACCAUGGGAAUUAGCUACCACCCCAAGGGCUAUGCUAUGCACGCUAAAUCACCUAGCAUGCAAACAUCAACAACAAUCCACAAUGGACAUAUGCUCACACUCUAAGCCAUAAACAGUCCAUUCACAAUUGCAUACAUAACAGAUACAUUCACAGCAUUAUGCAUACCAUCAUACAUCAUCAGCAUAUUUAUCACAGAAUCAUAUUCAUAUCAUGCCAAAUAAUAAAUCACAGUAUUAGCACACUCUACUAAUACCUAUACUGCUCAAAACAACGGGAAAUGAUCCCUACUAUAUCAUACACCAAUAUAGGCCAAUCAUCAAAUAUGUCCACAAUAUUUAAAUAUCAAUUUUUCACUUUUCCAACAGUGUUAACCGGUUAACGCCCUGGGUUAACCGGUUAACGCAACACAGAACACGCUUCCUGGCACAUUUUAACAGUGUUAACCGGUUAACGCCCUGGGUUAACCGGUUAACGCAAGACAGACAGCAAUUUCUCAUAAUUCAUAACAGUGUUAACCGGUUAACACCCUGGGUUAACCGGUUAACGCAAGACAGAAAGCUGUUCCUGCGCUAACACGAACAGAAUGCAGAAUCCCCCGCAUUUUUCGCCGUCGGAGGACUUCCGGACCUCCGAUUUCAAUUCCGUAAAAAGCUACACGUCCAGAAAUUUACGACUCACCCACAUAUAGAUUCAAUUACAGUUUUAACAUAACUUAUUCAUCACCAUUUACAGCAUUCCUCAUCCCAAUUAGGGUCAAUUCAAUGGCUUAUCACUACCCAUUACAUGUUAACCCAUAAUACCCAUUAAACGACGAUAAACCCCCCUUACCUGAGUUAAUCCGGCAAAUCCUUUAGCUUCAAGCUUUUCCCUUCUUCAACCCUUGUUCUCUUGCUCUUCCUCUUUGCCCUUUUCUCACUUUCUGUCGCUUCUCUGGUUUUCACGUGAAAAACCCUUUUUACCAAAUGGAACUCUUUAUAUAUAUUCCAACUUUAUUAUUCCAAUAAUAAUAAUCCAAUAAUAUUCCAAUUAUUUAAUUAAAUUAAUAAAUAUACUAUUAACUUAAAUUAAAUAAUUAUCAUAUUUUAUCGGGGUGUUACAACUCUCCCCCACUAAAAGAGUUUUCGUCCUCGAAAACAUACCUCAAGCGAAUAACUCUGGAUAAGACUCCUUCAUCUGACUCUCAAGUUCCCAAGUCACAUUGCCACCUGCUGGUCCUCCCCAAGCUACCUUUACCAAAGCAAUCUCUUUACCCCGCAACUGCUUCAACUCUCGAUCCUCGAUCCUCAUAGGUGAUGUUUCAACAGUCAGGUUAUCUCUCACCUGUACAUCAUCUACUUGGACCACAUGCGACGGAUCAGGAAUGUACCUCCUCAACUGAGACACAUGAAAAACCUCAUGCAAAUUCGCAAGUGACGGCGGUAAAGCGAUACGAUAGGCUACCUCCCCUAUCCUCUCCAAAAUCUGAUAAGGACCAAUAAAUCGAGGUGUCAACUUCUUCGACUUCAAAGCUCGACCAACCCCAGUUAUCGGAGUAACACGAAGAAACACAUGAUCUCCCUCUUGAAACUCAAGUGACUUCCUCCUCUUGUCGUGAUAACUCUUCUGACGACUCUGAGCAAUCCUCAUCUUCUCCUGAAUCAUCUUAAUCUUUUCCGUAGUUUGUUGAACAAUCUCCGGUCCAACCACAGCACUCUCACCGGACUCAUACCAACAUAAAGGUGUCCGACAUCUCCUACCAUACAAAGCUUCAAACGGUGCCAUACCAAUGCUCGAAUGAAAACUAUUGUUGUAGGUAAACUCAAUCAAAGGUAAAUAACAAUCCCAAGCACCUCCCUUUUCCAAAACACAAGCCCUCAAAAGAUCCUCCAGUGACUGAAUCGUCCUCUCAGUCUGACCAUCAGUCUGCGGAUGAUAUGCAGAACUCAAUCUCAGCUUAGUUCCCAAAGCCCUCUGCAAACCUUCCCAGAACUUCGAUGUAAAUCUAGGAUCUCUGUCCGAAACAAUACUCGACGGAAUACCAUGCAAACUUACAAUUUUCUCAAUAUACAACUCAGCUAAUCUCUCUAACGGAUAAUCCAUUCUGAUCGGAAUGAAAUGAGCCGAUUUUGUCAAUCUGUCAACAAUCACCCAAAUAGCUUCAAAAUUCUUAAUUGUCCUCGGUAAACCAGAAACAAAAUCCAUACUGAUACUAUCCCACUUCCACUCUGGAAUAGCCAACGGUUGCAUUAGCCCAGACGGCUUCUGAUGCUCAAUCUUUGACUUCUGACAAGUCAAACAAGAAUAAACAAAACUCGCAAUUUCUCUUUUCAUUCCCGGCCACCAAAAUAACUUUUUCAAAUCAUGAUACAUCUUCGUAGCCCCAGGAUGAAUACUCAGGCCACUACGAUGUCCUUCCUCAAGAAUACUCUUCUUAAGUUCGGUAACAUCCGGAAUACACACCCGAUUACCAAAUUUCAAAACACCAUUCUCAUCAACUCUGAAUUCACCACCUUGACCUUGAUUCACUAGAGUCAACUUAUCAACCAAAAGCACAUCGGAUUUCUGACCCUCUCUAAUCUCAUCCAGAAUACCACUCGUUAACUUCAACAUUCCCAAUUUAACACUAUUGUGAGUACUCUCACACACCAAACUCAAGUCUCUAAACUGCUCAAUUAAAUCCAAUUCCUUAACCAUUAACAUAGACAUAUGCAAUGAUUUCCGACUCAAUGCAUCAGCCACUACGUUUGCUUUACCCGGAUGGUAAUUCAAACCAAAGUCAUAAUCCUUCAGAAACUCUAACCAUCUCCUCUGUCUCAUAUUCAGCUCUUUCUGAUCAAACAAAUACUUUAAACUUUUAUGGUCACUGAAAACCUCAAAUCUUGACCCGUACAAGUAAUGCCUCCAUAACUUCAGAACAAAUACCACAGCUGCCAACUCUAAAUCGUGUGUCGGAUAGUUCCUCUCAUGAACCUUCAGUUGUCUCGAAGCAUAAGCUACAACCUGCUUAUUCUGCAUCAAAACACCACCCAAACCCAACAAUGAAGCAUCACAGUAAACCUCAAAUGGUUCCGACGGACUUGGUAAUAUCAGAAUAGGAGCAGUAGUUAACCUUCUCUUUAACUCUUGGAAACCUUCUUCACAUUUUGAGUCCCAAACAAACGCUUGCCCCUUUCUAGUCAACAUCGUCAACGGUAACGCCAACUUAGAAAAUCCCUCAAUGAAUUUCCUAUAAUAACCUGCAAGUCCAAGAAAACUCCUUAUCUCAGAAACUGACUUCGGAGCUUCCCACUUAGAUACCGCUUCUAUCUUAGAAGGAUCAACAGCAACACCACCUCUUGAAACCACAUGACCAAGAAAACUAACCUCUUCUAACCAAAAUUCACACUUGGACAGUUUAGCAAAUAACUUCUUUUCUCGUAGAACUCCUAAAACCACUCUCAAAUGUUCAGCAUGCUCUUCUUCAGAUUUCGAAUACACCAAAAUAUCGUCAAUAAACACCACAACAAACUUGUCUAGGUACGGAUGGAAAAUCCUAUUCAUAUACUCCAUAAAUACUCCAGGCGCAUUAGUCACACCAAAAGGCAUUACAGAAUACUCAUAAUGUCCAUACCUUGUUCUGAAAGCAGUCUUCUGAAUAUCCUCAGUUUUCACACGUAUCUGAUGAUACCCCGAUCUCAAAUCUAUUUUGCUGAACACACUCGCACCAACCAACUGAUCCAUCAAAUCAUCAAUCCUCGGCAAAGGAUACCGAUUCUUGAUCGUCACUUUAUUCAGUUGCCUGUAGUCCACACACAACCUCAUAGUACCUUCUUUCUUCUUAACCAAUAACACUGGUGCACCCCACGGUGACACACUCGGACGAAUAAAUUUCUUAUCCAACAGAUCUUCCAGCUGACUCUUCAAUUCAGUUAACUCAACAGCAGACAUACGGUACGGAGCCAUCGAUAUCGGCCUAGUACCAGGUACCAAAUCAAUCGAGAACUCAACUUCACGCUCUGGCGGUAAUUCAUUCACUUCUUCAGGAAACACAUCAGGAAAAUCACACACCACGGCUAGAUCGCAAAUCACCAGUUUAUCUUUAGCCUCCAAAGUCGCUAACAGCAUAAACAACUCUGCCCCAUCUGCUACUGCCUCAUUCACCUGCCUUGCUGAUAGAAACAAACUCUUUCCUUCCUCAAUCUCAGGAAAGAUCACAGUCUUAUCAAAACAGUUGAUAUAAACUCGGUUAAACACCAACCAGUUCAUACCCAGGAUAACAUCAAUCUGCACUAGUGGAAGACACACGAGGUCCAUCCCAAAGUCUCUACCAAAAAUACUCAAAGGACAAUUUAAACAAACUGAAGUAGUAGUCACUGAACCCUUCGCAGGAGUAUCAAUCACCAUACUUCCAUGCAUCUCAGAUAUCUCUAAUUUAAGUUUCACAGCACAAUCCAAAGAUAUAAAGGAAUGAGUCGCACCUGUGUCAAUAAUAGCUACAAGAGGAAAGCCAUUAAUAUAACACGUACCUCGGAUCAAACGAUCAUCUGCAGAAGUCUCAGAACCCGAUAAAGCAAAGACCUUGCCUCCCGACUGAUUCUCUUUCUUCGGCUUAGGACACUGUGGACUGAUAUGACCCAACUCUCCACAGUUGAAACAAGUCACAGUCUUCAACCGGCACUCUGCAGCCAAGUGACCACCUUUUCCACACUUGAAACACUUCUUCUCAGUACUGGUACACUCAUGGAUACGAUGUCCAGCCUGACCACAUCUGUAACACUUAGCAGGGGCACUGGAGUCUCCCCCACUAGGUCUCUUCAUCCCACUCUGUCUCUGGAAACCUUUGCCAGCUGCAUACGGUUUCCCACGAUCAUUCUGAUUCUUGCCUUUCCUAUCAACCCUCUGCUGAUAGCUCUCCGCUCUGGCCUUGGUAUCCUGUUCAAAAAUCCUGCAACAGUCAACCAAGUCAGAAAACACUCUAAUCCGCUGAUACCCAAUAGCCUGCUUGAUCUCGGGACGUAACCCGUUCUCAAACUUCACACAUUUUGAAAAUUCCCCAGUAGCCUCAUCAUAGGGAGUGUAAUACUUCGACAGCUCUGUGAACUUAGCAGCAUACUCAGUAACAGACCGGUUGCCCUGCUUCAAUUCUAAGAACUCUAUCUCUUUCUUUCCUCUGACAUCCUCUGGAAAGUACUUCCUCAGGAAUCUCUCUCUGAACACAGCCCAAGUGAUCUCAGCAUUCCCAGCAGAUUCCAACUCAGUGCGGGUAGCAACCCACCAAUCAUCUGCUUCUUCUGACAGCAUAUGCGUACCGAACCUGACCUUCUGGUUAUCGGCACACUCAGUCACUCGGAAGAUCCUCUCGAUCUCCUUCAACCACUUCUGAGCACCAUCUGGAUCGUAUGCUCCCUUGAACAUUGGAGGAUUGUUCUUCUGGAACUCACUCAGUUGACGAGCAGCUCCCAUUCCCACAACAUUCGGAUUCCCUCCAAGUACUCCAGCUAGCAUACCCAGAGCCUCAGCAAUCGCAGCAUCAUCUCUACCUCUUCCAGCCAUCUCUAUUCUGAAAACCCAACAAGCUAAAACAAUAAGUACUGAUAGGGUUACACAACACCUAUCCCGUACAGGGGAAACAGAAUAAUUACGACUCGACUCGACCGACUAUGCUCUGAUACCACUAAUGUAACACCCUUCUAAAAUACCCCAAAAAUUAAUUAAAAUAAUAAACAUAUAAUCAGAGUAAUAGUGCACCAAGGGUGUCACACAAACAUUCCACACCAUUUAAACAAUAUAACAAUCAUGCUCUUUUAUUUAAUUUAAAUAUAAAGUAUUUGCACAAUUACGCAGCGGAUAGAGAUCAACUCAAUCAUGCAAAACAUGUAACAUCACAUGUAAUUUAGUUCAACCACAACAACAAUAAUAAUCAAAGUGUUCCCGCCCGAUGUUACAUCUAUCAGAGCAUGACCCACUAGGGAGACUACACUAGACUCCAAGCAUUAGCUUCUACUCAACUCAUUUCUCGUUACCUGAAAAAUAGUUGUAAGGGUGAGUUCCUCAAUCAAUAUAAUAAGCAUUAUAAAACAACAUGUAAUGCCAAGUAAUUAACACAUCAAUCACCCUAAUUGCAAUACACAUUCAGUAAUAGCUCAUUGGCUUAAACAUCAUACUCAACAUCAAUAUACAAUACCAGUAUAAUCUCAAAUCAUACUUAACAACAACACAACACACGUAUAAUAUUGGAACACAUCCAUUCAUAUUAUACGCCAUACAUAUUUUUAUGCAAUGAGACUCUACACAUGCGGUACCGACUAUCCUUGAACAUAUAGUUCAAGCUCACCGAUCCCUCCGGAUACGGCUACUAAGCUCACUAGUCCCACUCAUUGAGAUCUAAUGACUUACUCACUAAUUCCUCACCAUGGGAAUUAGCUACAGCCCCAAAGGCUAGACUAUGCAAGCUAAUCAUCUAGCAUGCAAACAUCAACAACAAUUCACAACGAUUCACUCACCAAUUCCUCACAAUGGGAAUUAGCUACAGCCCCACAGGCUAUGCAUGCACACUAAUCAUCUAGCAAUGCAGCAUCAACAACAACUCACAAUGGACAUAUGCUCACACUUUAAGCCAUACGACAGUCCAUUCACAAUACAUGCAUAAUAUAUACAUUCACAACAUUUUGCAUCAUCAUACAUCAUCAAUACAUGUAUCAACACAUCAUCAACACAUAUAAAACACCUCCUCAACACAUGUAUGAAACACCUCAGCAACACAUGUAUAAACACUUCUUCUGCCUUGCUCGCUAGGCCGAGGCAGUGGCGAAGCUCUGGUUCGCUAGGCGAGCUCAAGGCGAACAGCUCCAGGAAAUUGGUAAAUUAAUUCGCUAGCGAGCUCAAGGCGAAGUAAUAGCGAACUCAUUCUGUUUGGUGAAAACACAGCUAGCACUCACUCGCUAGGCGAAGCUCCAGCGAGUCCACAGCGAACAUUACAGUAGCAAAACCUCUCAAUCUCGCUGGGGCGAGGUUGAGGCGCGUUCCUUCGCUAGGCGAAGGUUAUGUUCGCUAGGCGAACAUGACAGUUCACCAGACGCGUUUCUUUGGCAGGGAUCUCAUGUGCCCAUUCCAGACCCUUCCCACUCAAACCUACUCGUCGGCAUUCAUCACCAAUUUAUCGGUUUGAUACACACACAUUAUCAAUUUGAUUACGGUUUUCACUCAACCUAUUCAUCACAAAUUUUCAGCAUUCCAAAUCCCAAUUAGGGUCGAUUCAACGGUUUCUCACUACCCAUUACAUAUUAUCCAUAAUACCCAUUAAUCGACGAUAACCCUUACCUUAACAAUCCGGCGAUCUUUGAGCUGCAAGCCUUUCCGUUCUUCUCCAACUUUCUUCCUCUUGCUCUGCCUCUGCCCUUUCCUCUUCUCUGCAGUUUCUCUGUUUUCACGUGAAAACAUUCUUUACCAAAUGGGAUUCUCUUUCCUCAUUUCACACUUAUAUAUUUUCCAAUAAUAAUUAUUAUUCCAAAAUAAUUAAAAUAAUCCAAUAAUAAUAAUCUAAUUAUUUAAUUAAAUUAAUAAUAUACUAUUAAUUCAAUUUUUAAUAAUUAUUUUAUUUUAUUGGGGUGUUACAAGGAAGAUGGCUCGUGGUUGAGAAAGUGAGAGAGGUUGAAGAAUUUGUGAAUUGUUGAAUUAUGGGAAAGAUGAUGGAGAGCUUGAAUUGAAGAUGGAGGAUGGUUCUUAUAGGAGAGUGAGGUUAGAGAGAUGGUUGGUUAUGAUAGUUGGAAGUAGUUAGA